rnacentral:rRNA from 1 species
GUUAGGAAUAUUGGGCAAUGGGCGAAAGCCUGACCCAGCCACGCCGCGUGAGUGAUGAAGGCCUUCGGGUUGUAAAGCUCUGUGGGGAGGGAAGAAAAAGCGGGAGAGUAACUGCUCUCGUGUUGACGGUACCUCCUUAGCAAGCACCGGCUAACUCUGUGCCAGCAGCCGCGGUAAUACAGAGGGUGCAAACGUUGCUCGGAAUUACUGGGCGUAAAGCGCGUGUAGGCUGACAUGCAAGUCGGGUGUGAAAUCCCAGGGCUCAACCUUGGAACUGCACUCGAAACUGCACGUCUUGAGUACUGGAGAGGGAAGCGGAAUUCCGGGUGUAGAGGUGAAAUUCGUAGAUAUCCGGAGGAACACCAGUGGCGAAGGCGGCUUCCUGGACAGUAACUGACGCUGAGACGCGAAAGCGUGGGGAGCAAACAGGAUUAGAAACCCCGUAGUCC